rnacentral:lncRNA from 1 species
UACAAAGUGCCAAAGACGAUGACAUCCUCUCACGAAAUGCAAAACGGUUACUCCUUAUUUCAAGCACCCUAUAAUAAGAAUGACUUUAUGCAAAAUUUCAGGGACAAAGAUAUGGCUUAAACCCCUCAAAGAGAAGGAAAAUACCAAUUACCAUGAUGUAUAUGCAUAUGCACACAAAUUCCGGGACGUCAUUUUGAUGGCUAAAGCCGGAAAAAACGAAUGCUUAUCUCUUGCUGCUAUUUAUCGAUAUUGAGAGCUAUCAUCAAAAUUGAGUAAACACUCCCCCAGAAGAGAAGCUACUAACUUCACAUAUUUGGUAAUGAUAGUGCCUUUGAAAUCACUCUUCGAAUAUUGUGGAGAGUGCAAAAGAAAAAACCAAAUACGUACUUACAAACAGAAUUUGGUAACAUAAUGAGUCGCAAAACCAACUACUUGGAAAGUAGAUCAAUAUCCACUCUGCAUAUAAUCAGUACUCAGUCACUCCCAUUAUUCCAUAUAUUUAUGCCAUCCCUCUUAUUAUAUUUAUAGCUUUUUUUUCUCCAACCCUUUCUUUCUAAUUCGUGCACUUACGCGAAUAAAGAAAUUUCGAAUCACAGUGUACACUACAAAAUCACUUCUUCUUUGAUCAGUAAAGAAAAACGAAGCGUACGCGAUUAUUCUAAAAUCCAACAGAAAUAAUCCACGUCUUAUUAAUGGGAGUCCGAACAAAAUAAUUUCUAAGCAUAGUUUUCCAUUUCGUUUUGUACUAUAAAAGUUCCACCAAAUUAGCUAUCCCCAUCAAUUGAGCUGCUGAAAGUGACUGCUUUUAUGGUUCAACUUUUCCCACCCUUACAAUUUUGAACCUGCAAUUGCGCAUCUUAAUAACUUUAAACUAAUUGUUAUUACAAUAAGUGAUCUAAGAUUCAAAAUCUUUAUAUUUUAUGAGAGAGUAUUACAAGAUUGAUGCCAUAGUGUAAGCUUUUCCGUAAAGCAAUGA